rnacentral:rRNA from 1 species
UACGUAGGGACCGAGCGUUGUCCGGAUUCAUUGGGCGUAAAGAGCUCGUAGGCGGUUUGUCGCGUCUGCCGUGAAAGUCCGGGGCUCAACUCCGGAUCUGCGGUGGAUACUGGCAAGCUAGAGUCAGGUAGAGGGUGGUGGAAUUCCCGGUGUAGCGGUGAAAUGCGUAGAGAUCGGGAGGAACAUCUGUGGCGAAGGCGGCCACCUGGACCAUGACUGACGCUGAGGCACGAAAGCGUGGGGAGCAAACAGGGA